UGUAUCGGAACGUACCUUUCAGUGGGGGAUAACGUAGCGAAAGCUACGCUAAUACCGCAUAUUCUGUGAGCAGGAAAGCAGGGGAUCGCAAGACCUUGCGCUGAUUGAGCGGCCGAUAUCAGAUUAGCUAGUUGGUGAGGUAAAGGCUCACCAAGGCGACGAUCUGUAGCGGGUCUGAGAGGAUGAUCCGCCACACUGGAACUGAGACACGGUCCAGACUCCUACGGGAGGCAGCAGUGGGGAAUUUUGGACAAUGGGGGCAACCCUGAUCCAGCCAUGCCGCGUGAGUGAAGAAGGCCUUCGGGUUGUAAAGCUCUUUCGGUCGGGAAGAAAUCGCAUGGGUUAAUACCCUGUGCGGAUGACGGUACCGGCAUAAGAAGCACCGGCUAACUACGUGCCAGCAGCCGCGGUAAUACGUAGGGUGCGAGCGCUAAUCGGAAUUACUGGGCGUAAAGCGUGCGCAGGCGGUUUUGUAAGACAGGCGUGAAAUCCCCGGGCUCAACCUGGGAACUGCGCUUGUGACUGCAAGGCUAGAGUAUGGCAGAGGGGGGUGGAAUUCCACGUGUAGCAGUGAAAUGCGUAGAGAUGUGGAGGAACACCAAUGGCGAAGGCAGCCCCCUGGGCCAAUACUGACGCUCAUGCACGAAAGCGUGGGUAGCAAACAGGAUUAGAUACCCUGGUAGUCACGCCCUAAACGAUGUCAACUAGGUGUUGGGUGGGUAAGACCAUUUAGUACCGGAGCUAACGCGUGAAGUUGACCGCCUGGGGAGUACGGCCGCAAGGUUAAAACUCAAAGGAAUUGACGGGGACCCGCACAAGCGGUGGAUGAUGUGGAUUAAUUCGAUGCAACGCGAAAAACCUUACCUACCCUUGACAUGUCCAGGAGCCUGAAGAGAUUUGGGUGUGCCCGAAAGGGAACUGGAACACAGGUGCUGCAUGGCUGUCGUCAGCUCGUGUCGUGAGAUGUUGGGUUAAGUCCCGCAACGAGCGCAACCCUUGUCGUUAAUUGCCAUCAUUUAGUUGGGCACUUUAACGAGACUGCCGGUGACAAACCGGAGGAAGGUGGGGAUGACGUCAAGUCCUCAUGGCCCUUAUGGGUAGGGCUUCACACGUCAUACAAUGGUCGGUACAAAGGGUUGCCAACCCGCGAGGGGGAGCCAAUCCCAGAAAGCCGAUCGUAGUCCGGAUUGCAGGCUGCAACUCGCCUGCAUGAAGUCGGAAUCGCUAGUAAUCGUGGAUCAGCACGUCACGGUGAAUACGUUCCCGGGUCUUGUACACACCGCCCGUCACACCAUGGGAGCGGGUUCCGCCAGAAGUAGGUAGCCUAACCGCAAGGGGGGCGCUUACCACGGCGGGGUUCGUGACUGGGGUGAAGUCGUAACAAGGUA
rnacentral:rRNA from 1 species